ACAGAUAUUCAUUCAGUCUGAAAUCUUAUUCUUUCAUCGGAUGAGAUCUGAAUAUAAUAUAUACGAUAGCCUGAAUUCAAACUGCCAAGCUUAUCCGUAGUAGUAGCCUCACUAGGCAUGAGCAAGAAAAGCAACCGGAUUGCAUGUUAGUAUCUAUCCUGAAGUUAUCAAAAGAAUUUGUUUUCAUUGAGAAAAAUUAUUAGUGGAAAGAACUGAGAACAGGUUUGUUUCUAUCCAUCUUUAUUACGCUUGCUUCCUAGACAUUUUUAUUUCCUUAUCAAAAACAUGAUUCUGAUGUCUAGCAUGGUCGUUUCAGGUCAGACAAUUUGAGUGAUCACUACAGC
rnacentral:lncRNA from 1 species